rnacentral:lncRNA from 1 species
UGAAUCUUGUCGUGUGGAACCUACUUGCCCUAUCUUGUCAAGUAGGACGGGAAUCCAUUUCUCGUUAGAUUCGCGUGGUAAGGCCCACAUUGGGACCUAAAUGCCACAUUGACAAAUUUGCAGGUACGGUUUUAGAUGCGUCCAAGCACUUUGGUGUUUCAACUUGGAUUAAAAGUCACGGAUUAAGGUAUUUUUAAUCCACGCCAAUCCGCCG